GGAGACAGGGAUUAGGGACUGGUUUGCUGAGUCCUUAAUUGCCGGAUUACAAGUUUAAAUGCAGGACAGCAACACUACAAAAAUAUGGUCUUUUACAACAUGAUGCAUUGUUGUAGAUUAAACUACUCAACAACCAGACCCCUGUACUGCAGGAUAAAGCUGAAUGUGUCAGCGCUGGACAGGUUUUUAACAGUGCUGCUAGAUCUGGAUGGGGUGCCACAAUCCAGACCCUGGUGUUUCUCUUCUGUCUGGCCAGUGGUGCAUCAUACAGAGUGGUCUCCAGAGUGUUUGACAUGCCUCGUUCCACUGUCCACCGCAUUGUCCUCCGAGUUGCUGAGGAGGUGCUGGCCAUUCACCAAUUCCUCCCAAAGACCCCAGAACACAUGGAGGCAGGGCUGGGCUUAAAAUUGAUGUUGUUUUUCUGAUGUUAAACCUAAGCUAUGUUGUAAAUAGUACUUUCAGUAAUGUAUAGAACAAUUUGUUUUAAUGUGUAAAAAAUUUAUUUACAGGACAAAAAAAUAAACGUA